rnacentral:rRNA from 1 species
AUGGAACAACUAGGAGCAUUGGACAAGACGACGAGGACACCAAGCGCGAGGAACAAGAGGAAGAGCUGUCAGGAAGCUACAGCUCUCGGACAUCCGACGACCUUCGGACGACCGACGAUCUCCGGGCGUCCGACGCCUGGAGACUCCACCAGCCAGAUCGACUCCAGCCGAGGCAACCUACAGCUCUGGGACGACCGCUCGACACCGGACGUCCGACACUCAUCAGCGCCCGGACGACCGACCCCGACCGGACGCCCGACACUAUCGGACCAGAGCCAAAACAUCGGAAGUCCGAAGACUUCCGGACGCCCGUGA